UUGUUGUUUGUUUUCAUUUAUUGCUCUAGAGGUCCUGUACAUACUUCUAGAGCAAUAAAUGAAAACAACCAGCAC